rnacentral:rRNA from 1 species
UACAGAGGGUGCGAGCGUUAAUCGGAAUUACUGGGCGUAAAGCGCGCGUAGGCGGCUUUGCAAGUCGGGUGUGAAAUCCCCAGGCUUAACCUGGGAACUGCAUUCGAGACUGCAUUGCUAGAGUAUGGGAGAGGGCAGCAGAAUUCCCGGUGUAGUGGUGAAAUGCGUAGAUAUCGGGAGGAAUACCAGUGGCGAAGGCGGCUGCCUGGCCUGUUCUUGACGGCUGAGGCGGCGAAAGCUGGGGGAGCAAACGGGG